CAGUCGCCGCGGUAAUACGUAGGGUCCGAGCGUUGUCCGGAAUUAUUGGGCGUAAAGAGCUCGUAGGCGGUCUGUCGCGUCUGCCGUGAAAUCCUCAGGCUCAACCUGAGGCGUGCGGUGGGUACGGGCAGGCUAGAGUGCGGUAGGGGAGAAUGGAACUCCUGGUGUAGCGGUGGAAUGCGCAGAUAUCAGGAAGAACACCGAUGGCGAAGGCAGUUCUCUGGGCCGUAACUGACGCUGAGGAGCGAAAGCGUGGGGAGCGAACAGGAUUAGAGACCCCCGUAGUCCCUGUCUCUUAUAC
rnacentral:rRNA from 1 species